GCUUGUCUCAAAGAUUAAGCCAUGCAUGUUCAAGUAUAGCAAGUGUACAGUGAAACUGCGAAUGGCUCAUUAAAUCAGUUAUAAUUUAUUUGAUAGUGAAAUUGUACAUGGAUAACCGUGGCAAUUCUAGGGCUAAUACAUGCGUCAAUGGUCGGUCGACCAGUAUUUAUUAGAUACAAAGCCAGCCGUCAGGAUCAGGUGAAUCAUAGUAACUAAUCGGAUCGCAUGGGCUUUGCCCGCGACAAACCAUUCAAGUUUCUGCCCCAUCAGCUUUCGAUGGUAGUGUAUUGGACUACCAUGGCUAUUACGGGUAACGGAGGAUUAGGGUUCGAUUCCGGAGAGGGAGCCUGAGAAACGGCUACCACAUCCAAGGAAGGCAGCAGG
rnacentral:rRNA from 1 species